rnacentral:rRNA from 1 species
UACGAAGGGGGCCAGCGUUGUUCGGAAUCACUGGGCGUAAAGGGCGCGUAGGCGGCCGCUAAAGUUGGGGGUGAAAGCCUGUGGCUUAACCACAGAAUUGCCUUCGAUACUGUUUGGCUUGAGACCGGAAGAGGUGAGUGGAACUGCGAGUGUAGAGGUGAAAUUCGUAGAUAUUCGCAAGAACACCAGUGGCGAAGGCGGCUCACUGGUCCGGUUCUGACGCUGAGGCGCGAAAGCGUGGGGAGCAAACAGG